GAUGAACGCUGGCGGCGUGCCUAACACAUGCAAGUCGAGCGAUCUCUUCGGAGAGAGCGGCGGACGGGUGAGUAACGCGUGGGUAACCUGCCCUGUACACACGGAUAACAUACCGAAAGGUAUACUAAUACGGGAUAACAUACGAAAGUCGCAUGGCUUUUGUAUCAAAGCUCCGGCGGUACAGGAUGGACCCGCGUCUGAUUAGCUAGUUGGUAAGGUAAUGGCUUACCAAGGCAACGAUCAGUAGCCGACCUGAGAGGGUGAUCGGCCACACUGGAACUGAGACACGGUCCAGACUCCUACGGGAGGCAGCAGUGGGGAAUAUUGCACAAUGGGCGAAGGCCUGAUGCAGCAACGCCGCGUGAGCGAUGAAGGCCUUCGGGUCGUAAAGCUCUGUCCUCAAGGAAGAUAAUGACGGUACUUGAGGAGGAAGCCCCGGCUAACUACGUGCCAGCCGCCGCAGUAACAC
rnacentral:rRNA from 1 species